AAAAACGGCACACACGCACCUCUCCAGACGCGACGCAACCCAAAGCUAGCGCGGCGGCGGCGGCUGGCCAGGUCGCGAGGACCAGGCGGGCGACCGACGACGGCGGCAGGCUGGGGGCUUAGAAGGCUGCGGCAGCAAGCUUCAGCGGUGGCUCCAGCGGCGCUCCAGCAAAGGCAGCAAGCGACGUCUUCAGCGGCGGCAGCAACAGAUGGCUCCAGUGGCGGUAGCAAGCUCCAUUGGGAUUUUCCUAGCAAUUCCUUGGUAGUUCCUCAGGGUCCGUACCAGAGACUAGUUGCAGCCACUUUGUUAGAUUACUAGAAGAUGGAUAGAAAGGGGAAUGGACUAGUAAAUCCAAAGAAAAGGGGAAGAGAUUUGAAGAAGUAUUUUGAAGUAUUUGGUAGUGACAAAUCCAAGCAUCUGUGGAAGUGUCAAUAUUUCGGCACAUGCCAUUGAAAGCUUCAUUAUCGAUAUAUUUUAGGUUAUUUUCCUAUUAAA